GUGCCAGCAGCCGCGGUAAGACAGGGGAUGCAAGCGUUACUCGGAAUUACUGGGCGUAAAGCGUCUGCAGGUGUCUCUCCACGUCUGGCGUAAAAGCACAGAGCCUAACUCUGUGUUCGUGCCGGAAACGAGAGAGAUUGAGUCACCCAGAGGCAUCUGGAAUGUCGUGUGUAGGGGUAAAAUCCGUAGAUCCACGAUGGAACGCCAAAAGCGAAGGCAGGAUGCUAGGGGUGUACUGACACUCAGAGACGAAAGCGUGGGGAGCAAAGGGGAUUAGAUACCCCCGUAGUCC
rnacentral:rRNA from 1 species